UGUUGAUCCUGCAGGAGAAUACUGCUAUGGGAGUUCGACUAAGCCAUGCAAGUCAAGGGGACCUUCGGGUCACCGGCAGACUGCUCAGUAACACGUUGAUAAUCUGCCCUUUGGUCUGGGAUAACGUCGGAAAACUGACGCUAAACCCGGAUAAGUAAUAAGAUCUGGAAUGACUUAUUACAUAAAAGCAAUGCCAAAGGAUGAGUCAGCGGCUGAUUAGGUAGUUGGUGGGGUAAAGGCCCACUAAGCCUAUGAUCAGUAGGAGCCUUGAGAGAGGUAGCUCCGAGAGGAACACUGAGAUACUGGUUCCAGCCCUACGGGGUGCAGCAGGCGCGAAACCUUUACAAUGCACGAAAGUGUGAUAAGGGGACUCCUAGUGCUUAUGUAUACCAUAAGCUUUUGCCAUAUGUAAAUAGUAUGGCGAAUAAGUGGUGGGCAAGACUGGUGCCAGCCGCCGCGGUAACACCAGCGCCACAAGUAGUUUUCGUUUUUAUUGGGCUUAAAGCGUCCGUAGCGGGCUUUGUAAAUCUUUUGUGAAAUUGAUGGGCUCAACCUAUCAACGUGCAUGAGACACUGCAAGGCUAGAGAUCGGGAGGAGUUUGGGGUAUUCCGGGGGGAGCGGUAAAAUGUGAUAAUCCUCGGAGGACCACCUGUGGCGAAGGCGCCAAACUAGAACGAAUCUGACCGUGAGGGACGAAAGCCAGGGGAGCGAUCCGGAUUAGAUACCCGAGUAGUCCUGGCAGUAAACGCUGUGAGCUAGGCGUUGCAUUUUCUACGGGAAAAUGCAGUGUCGUAGAGAAAUCGUUAAGCUCACCGCCUGGGUAGUACGGUCGCAAGACUGAAACUUAAAGGAAUUGGCGGGGGAGCACUACAAGGGGUGGCGCGUGCGGUUUAAUUGAACUCAACACCGGAAAUCUUACCAGCAGCGACGGCAAGAUGAAGAUCAGGCUUAAGACCUUAUCUGAUGAGCCGAGAGGUAUUGCAUGGCCGCCGUCAGCUCGUGCCGCAAGGUGUCCUGUUAAGUCAGGCAACGAGCGAGACCUGUAUUCACAAUUGCCAGCAGCAAAUUUAUUUGGUCUGGGCACAUUGUGAGGACUGCCUUCGAAAGAAGGAGGAAGGUGCAGGCUACGGUAGGUCUGUAUGGUCCGAAUCCGCUGGGCUACACGCGCGCAACAAUGGUAUGGACAAUGGGCUGCAACUCCGAGAGGGGAAGCCAAUCCUCGAAACCAUAUCUUAGUCUUGAUCGAGCUUUGUAACUCAAGCUCGUGAUACUGGAAUCCCUAGUAACCGGAAGUCAUCAACUUCCGGUGAAUAUGUCCCUGCUCCUUGCACACACCGCCCGUCAAACCAUCCGAGCAGGAUUUAGGUGAGGUGCAGUUUUUACGGAUUGUAUCGAACCUAAGUUCAGUGAGGGGGGUUAAGUCGUCACAAGGUA
rnacentral:rRNA from 1 species